UUAUAAGGCAUCCAGCGUUGCUGUUGUUUUUCCAUGACUAGUAGGUUAUGAGCAUCAAAGCUAUCGGUAUAGCUAUAAAGCUUACAUUGGAGGGUUCAAACCAAGCUGCAAAUUUUCAAACUUGGGUGUUUGUGAUGGUUUCUGUCACAUGUAUAAUUACUCAACUAAAUUACUUAAAUAAGGUAGACUUUAUAUUUCUCCUUAUAGUAUGCAGUGAUGUUUGAAGUCAG
rnacentral:misc_RNA from 1 species